CCCGAGCAAGGGUUUGAGGCUUUGAGCCUCUCCCUCAUGAAGAUCAAUCGAAUCUUUCGAACCAUUGCUGCUGGAUGAUCGAGGACUAAGUUUGAUCUUUGAGGGAGAAGAAGGCAAAGUUUGAAUCUGGUAGGUGCAGACUGCAAAGUUUGAAUCUGGUGUUGUUCCUAAUCUCAACAAUUCAAGGAAUCAACUAAUCAAGGCCUCAUUAAACCUGGAGCAACAUAGAAGCACGGCAGUUGGUCGGUUUGGGGCAAGAGAAACUGAAUUUGAGGGAGCACAAUAACUCAGCAAGGCAGCAAGCAAAUAUGAAGUGAUGAUGAGAUGAACUUUGAGUCCUUGAACAAUUUGUUUUCAACUAUUGCACUUAGUUAUUGUAUCAUUUGAUAUUUUGAUACAUUUGUGUAAAGUGUGAACUAUGAAUUAUUGACUUAAAAUUUGUAUGAACUAUGGAGUGAUGAAGGGGAUGAACUGAAGUGAAUAAGUGAUGAACUCAAGUAGUGAAGUUGAUGUAUGAGAGUUUUUAGCUUAUUUUUCAUUUCCAGGUUGUUCAUUUCCAGGU